CCGUCCAGCCCAAGCAGCAGAGGACACCUGGCUCAGAUGCAAUUCCCUGAGUUGGCACAUGGCCAUGAAGCAAAGUCCAAAGAUCCCACUGUGAAGUGAGCUGCAGGCUCCUGAACGACUGCUAAGAAGGGCUGGGCUCUGCUUGUGUUAUCUGAAAGAUUGUGCUGUGAGCCUUGGGGGUUCAGCUCUGCCUUACCCAGAGCACCACCACCUGCUGCAGGUGCUGGCAGUGCUGGACUGCCCACAGCACCUGCAACGUUGACACCUUCUCAGAAUAUCAUUAGCUCAGCAAAUUCAUUUUGAGAUGCCAGAAAUGGGUUGCAAAGAUCAACUCUUUGUCAGCAAUAUCUGAGGAGGAGUCAGCAGGUCUCACACCCAUCUCAAAGGCAGAGGGGAAUUCUGACUGUCUCAUGUCUGGAUUCACUAUAUGCUCACCAAAGAAAAGUAUUUCUCCUAG